GAGUUUGAUCCUGGCUCAGAUUGAACGCUGGCGGCAUGCCUUACACAUGCAAGUCGAACGGCAGCACGGGUGCUUGCACCUGGUGGCGAGUGGCGAACGGGUGAGUAAUACAUCGGAACAUGUCCUGUAGUGGGGGAUAGCCCGGCGAAAGCCGGAUUAAUACCGCAUACGAUCUACGGAUGAAAGCGGGGGACCUUCGGGCCUCGCGCUAUAGGGUUGGCCGAUGGCUGAUUAGCUAGUUGGUGGGGUAAAGGCCCACCAAGGCGACGAUCAGUAGCUGGUCUGAGAGGACGACCAGCCACACUAGGACUGAGACACGGCCCAGACUCCUACGGGAGGCAGCAGUGGGGAAUUUUGGACAAUGGGCGAAAGCCUGAUCCAGCAAUGCCGCGUGUGUGAAGAAGGCCUUCGGGUUGUAAAGCACUUUUGUCCGGAAAGAAAUCCUUGGCUCUAAUACAGUCGGGGGAUGACGGUACCGGAAGAAUAAGCACCGGCUAACUACGUGCCAGCAGCCGCGGUAAUACGUAAGGUGCGAGCGUUAAUCGGAAUUACUGGGCGUAAAGGGGGGGCAGGCGGUUUGCUAAAACCGAUGUGAAAUCCCCGGGGUUAACCUGGAACUGCAUUGGUGACUGGCAGGCUAAAGUAUGGCAGAGGGGGGUAGAAUUCCACGUGUAGCAGUGAAAUGCGUAGAGAUGUGGAGGAAUACCGAUGGCGAGGGCAGCCCCCUGGGCCAAUACUGACGCUCAUGCACGAAAGCGUGGGGAGCAAACAGGAUUAGAUACCCUGGUAGUCCACGCCCUAAACGAUGUCAACUAGUUGUUGGGGAUUCAUUUCCUUAGUAACGUAGCUAACGCGUGAAGUUGACCGCCUGGGGAGUACGGUCGCAAGAUUAAAACUCAAAGGAAUUGACGGGGACCCGCACAAGCGGUGGAUGAUGUGGAUUAAUUCGAUGCAACGCGAAAAACCUUACCUACCCUUGACAUGGUCGGAAUCCUGCUGAGAGGCGGGAGUGCUCGAAAGAGAACCGGCGCACAGGUGCUGCAUGGCUGUCGUCAGCUCGUGUCGUGAGAUGUUGGGUUAAGUCCCGCAACGAGCGCAACCCUUGUCCUUAGUUGCUACGCAAGAGCACUCUAAGGAGACUGCCGGUGACAAACCGGAGGAAGGUGGGGAUGACGUCAAGUCCUCAUGGCCCUUAUGGGUAGGGCUACACACGUCAUACAAUGGCUGGAGCAAAGGGCUGCCAACCCGCAAGGGGGAGCUAAUCCUAUAAACCCAGUCGUAGUCCGGACUGCACUCUGCAACUCGAGUGCAUGAAGUCGGAAUCGCUAGUAAUCGUGGAUCAGCAUGUCACGGUGAAUACGUUCCCGGGUCUUGUACACACCGCCCGUCACACCAUGGGAGCGGGUUUUGCCAGAAGUAGUUAGCCUAACCGCAAGGAGGGCGAUUACCACGGCAGGGUUCGUGACUGGGGUGAAGUAGUAACAAGGUA
rnacentral:rRNA from 1 species